AAGUUAGAUGUCGACCGGCGCACGGGUGAGUAACGCGUAUCCAACCUGGCCCAUACCACGGGAUAGCCCGUCGAAAGGCGGAUUAAUACCGUAUGCUGUCAUCAAGAUGCAUAUAUUGAUGACGAAAGGACUGGCGGUAUGGGAUGGGGAUGCGUCUGAUUAGCUUGUUGGCGGGGUAACGGCCCACCAAGGCGACGAUCAGUAGGGGUUCUGAGAGGAAGGUCCCCCACAUUGGAACUGAGACACGGUCCAAACUCCUACGGGAGGCAGCAGUGAGGAAUAUUGGUCAAUGGGCGCAAGCCUGAACCAGCCAAGUAGCGUGAGGGAAGACUGCCCUACGGGUUGUAAACCUCUUUUGUUUGGGAAUAAAGUGCGGGACGUGUCCCGCAUUGCAUGUACCAUUUGAAUAAGGACCGGCUAAUUCCGUGCCAGCAGCCGCGGUAAUACGGAAGGUCCGGGCGUUAUCCGGAUUUAUUGGGUUUAAAGGGAGCGCAGGCCGUGGGUUAAGCGUGUCGUGAAAUUCCGUCGCUCAACGGCGGACGUGCGGCGCGAACUGGUCCACUUGAGUACGCGGGACGUUGGCGGAAUUCGUGGUGUAGCGGUGAAAUGCUUAGAUAUC
rnacentral:rRNA from 1 species